rnacentral:rRNA from 1 species
AUGUUCCCACAGCGUUGUCUCUCCUCGCGGCCGGCCACCAACUGGCGACCAACCGCGGACCAAGACGAGCAGCGAGCUCUCUUGGUGUGCUCAGCUCUGCUUCGUCCGAGAUCCCCUCCUCCUAUCUCGGCCCAGCGCCGUCUUCUUCCAUCCCGUCGAUAUCUCUCCCCCGCUCCGCUCCCCAUCACGAACAGCUGGUCGAAGCGAGCGCCUGGUCUAUCAAUGGCGGAGGAGACCGAGACCGAGAAGCAGCUCUUCUCUCCGUCGGAUGUCUCGCUCCACGCAUCCACGAAGGACUGCUGGGUCGUCAUCCAUGGCAAGGUGUACGAUGUGACCAAAUUCCUCGAGGACCACCCCGGCGGAGAGGAUGUCCUCCUCCAUGCAUCUGCCUCUGGGGAUGCCACGGAGGCUUUUGAAGAUGUGGGCCACAGCACAUCAGCCAUCAGCAUGAUGAGCAGCUACCUGAUUGGAAGCAUCGAGGACUUUGUGCCUCCCAGUGCAACGAAGGACGCCACAGUUGGUGGCAGUGAUGUGCUUCCAGAUUCCAGAACAAUGAAGAGGAACAAAGGCUCUCCUGCUCCAAACACAUUUCUGGACUUCGUGCUCCCUUUAUGCAUGCUUGUCCUGGCCUUUGUAGCUUGGUACUACCUAACCUUCGUGGCCGAGAGCUAG